CAUCCCAUCGGCAAUGCCCACCGUGUCACAAAGGGCCCUGUGACACCCUGCCACCUGCCCUGGGGCCUCCCCCAGCCCGGCCUACCUGCCCCGGGGAGCUCUUGGGAGCAGCAGCUGCAACAAUUGGUGCCAGGGCUCAGCAUCUGUCAGAAGGCAGAAGCAGUUUCUCCUUGCGGGAAUGAUUUUCUCAUGCAAGCGAUGACCUGCAGCACCAAACCACCAUCAGUUGCUCAGUUUCACAGGAAGAUUAGACUGGUAACAGAUCCUGUCAAGUUUCCUUGUGUUAUUUGGACUUUUUUUCUUGCUUUCGGCAAAAUAAAAGCUGCCCAGUCUGACGUUCAAA